rnacentral:rRNA from 1 species
UACGGGAGGCAGCAGUGAGGAAUAUUGGACAAUGGAGGCAACUCUGAUCCAGCCAUGCCGCGUGCAGGAAGAAGGUCCUAUGGAUUGUAAACUGCUUUUAUAUAGGAAGAAACCUUUCCACGUGUGGAAAGCUGACGGUACUAUAAGAAUAAGCACCGGCUAACUCCGUGCCAGCAGCCGCGGUAAU